rnacentral:rRNA from 1 species
GAUGAACGCUGGCGGCGUGCUUAACACAUGCAAGUCGAACGGGAUCCAAGGGGUGCUUGCACUUUUUGGUGAGAGUGGCGAACGGGUGAGUAACACGUGAGUAACCUGUCCUUUUCUUUGGGAUAAGCAUUCGAAAGGGUGUUUAAUACCUUAUGUUCUGUCUGCCUCGCAUGGGGUGGGUGGGAAAGGCUUUGGCCGGAUUUGGGUGGGCUCGCGGUCUAUCAGCUUGUUGGUGGGGUGAUGGCUUACCAAGGCUUUGACGGGUAGCCGGCCUGAGAGGGUGGUCGGUCACAUUGGGACUGAGAUACCGCCCAGACUCCUGCGGGAGGCAGCAGUGGGGGAUAUUGCACGAUGGGCGAAAGCCUGAUGCAGCGACGCCGCGUGGGGGAUGAAGGCCUUCGGGUUGUAAACUUCUUUUGCUCUGAACAAGGCAUGCCAGUGGGUGUGUUGAGUGUAGGGGUUGAUUAGCGCCGGCUAACUACGUG